AUCUGUGUCGAUGACGGAGAGGUCCCACCCGUUCCCAUUCCGAACACGGAAGUUAAGCUCUCUUGUGCCUAAGAUACUCGUGCACUCAAGCAUUGGGGAAAAUCGGUAGACGCAGGUA
rnacentral:rRNA from 1 species